AUCAAAUCACAGUCAGCAUCCUUCUGGAUGGAGCAUCAGAACAGAGGGCUGCACCAUGUCCAUGUCCUCAGGCCCCAGAAUCCACAGCUGAAAUCCCAGGUGCCGCUUCUCACCCUUACACAAUGCCCAAGAAGGAAAGUUCUGUCGCUGAUGGGAAAGGACAGGAUCCAUCAGUGCAUUGAUGGGACUGGGCUGAGAAAAAUUCAAAGAGACACAAUCUGCCUCUGGAGACCAAUAGAAAAACGAGUAGGGGGCCAUUUGUUACAUCGCUCUCUUUGUUUCAAAUGUGGCUGUUUAAAUUUGAAUUGAAUGUAUUUGGGGAUUUUCUACAAAGAGAGUCACUUGGAAGGCUGCCGUUUCUUGUUAUCAGUCAUGUUUUAUUAUUGAGAGGAGGGAUGCUCAGAGGAACUUCAGAGCUUAGGCACAGGCAAAAAAAAAAAAAAAAAAAAAAAAAGGCGGGCCUGAUGCACAGCAGUACUUUAGUCCCGUGACAUCCAAACUCAUAGGUAUUGUCCUCAGAGAGAAAUCAAAGAUUCAGCAGAAAAGAAGGAAUUCCC
rnacentral:lncRNA from 1 species